rnacentral:rRNA from 1 species
GUCUCCGGACAUAUCAGCCUGAAGGCGCUAGAUCUUGCCUGCUCUCAGAAGUUAAGCAGGGUCGGGCCUGGUUAGGAUCUUGGAUGGGAGACCACCUGGGAAUCCCGGGUGCUCGAGGCU